GGCUCUGACCCCACUUACUCAGCCCACCCCCGGUGGCAGGGGGCGUGGCUUAGCCCAGCCAUGUGCGUCCUGCCAUUCUGGAUCAUGGAGCUUCUGACAGGCUGAGAUUGACUGUCAGAAGCUCCACAAUUGACCAGUUGAUCGAGAUUGACUACUAUUCAAAACAGUAA